rnacentral:piRNA from 1 species
UGGGACUGUUCUGGGUAACUUGAUGUUAGC